AGGACUAACGCUGGCGGCGUGCCUAACACAUGCAAGUCGAACGGGGUAGCAAUACCCAGUGGCAGACGGGUGAGUAACACGUGGUCAACCUACCUCUGUGUGGGGGAUAACUAGCCGAAAGGUUAGCUAAUACCGCAUACGAUCGUUUUGAGGCAUCUCGAGACGAUGAAAGGAGCAAUCCGCACGGAGAGGGGACUGCGUCCCAUUAGUUAGUUGGUGGGGUAACGGCCUACCAAGACUCCGAUGGGUAGCUGGCUUGAGAGAGCGACCAGCCACACUGGAACUGAGAAACGGUCCAGACUCCUACGGGAGGCAGCAGUGGGGAAUUUUGCGCAAUGGGGGAAACCCUGACGCAGCAACGCCGCGUGGAGGAUGAAGCCCCUUGGGGCGUAAACUCCUUUCGAUCGGGACGAUUAUGACGGUACCGGAAGAAGAAGCCCGGCUAACUUCGUGCCAGCAGCCGC
rnacentral:rRNA from 1 species